rnacentral:rRNA from 1 species
UACGUAGGGGGGCAAGCGUUGUCCGGAAUCAUUGGGCGUAAAGAGCGUGUAGGCGGCCCGGUAAGUCCGCUGUGAAAGUCGGGGGCUCAACCCCUCGAAUGCCGGUGGAUACUGUCGGGCUAGAGUGCGGGAGAGGCGAGUGGAAUUCCUGGUGUAGCGGUGAAAUGCGCAGAUAUCAGGAGGAACACCAAUUGCGAAGGCAGCUCGCU